GAUGAACGCUGGCGGCGUGCCUAAUACAUGCAAGUCGAGCGAACGGACGAGAAGCUUGCUUCUCUGAUGUUAGCGGCGGACGGGUGAGUAACACGUGGAUAACCUACCUAUAAGACUGGGAUAACUUCGGGAAACCGUAGCUAAUACCGGAUAAUAUUUUGAACCGCAUGGUUCAAAAGUGAAAGACGGUCUUGCUGUCACUUAUAGAUGGAUCCGCGCUGCAUUAGCUAGUUGGUAAGGUAACGGCUUACCAAGGCAACGAUGCAUAGCCGACCUGAGAGGGUGAUCGGCCACACUGGAACUGAGACACGGUCCAGACUCCUACGGGAGGCAGCAGUAGGGAAUCUUCCGCAAAGGGCGAAAGCCUGACGGAGCAACGCCGCGUGAGUGAUGAAGGUCUUCGGAUCGUAAAACUCUGUUAUUAGGGAAGAACAUAUGUGUAAGUAACUGUGCACAUCUUGACGGUACCUAAUCAGAAAGCCACGGCCAACUACGUG
rnacentral:rRNA from 1 species